GGAUGUGAGGGCCACAUGGCUGCAACAUCUGUCACCCCAUGGAUCACCAGGGUUCAUUCAGCUGAUCUGGCUGGCUAGGCAGGUGUCCCCUUCCUCCCUCACCCCUCCAUGUGCGUGCUCAGCGGGAGAGGAUGACCUUCCCUGGUAGAGGAGGACCAUUCUUCAGUCAAAGGUAUAAGAGUAGCUGCGCUCACCUGCUAGAACCUCCAAACAAGCUCUCAAGAAUUCAUUUAAAUUUCAGAUAGACAAUGAAUAAUAUUUUAAUGUCAAUAUGUCUUAUGCAAUUCUGGAGUCAUAU
rnacentral:snRNA from 1 species